AUGGGUGCAACUGGCUAUAUAUCGUACAGUUUAGCCACAGCUAGAUGUGUAACACUAACAAGAUGGAAAUGCAUUAUUACAAACACCAGCAAAGUUUGUGAAAACCACAUUUGUCUACAGGAUGAUACAGUGCAAGCAAUUAGCUUUCGAAGCUCCGAGUGUUAGCACAUUGAUAGGUUGCACACUUAAGUUCCACGUUCCACGUCAAAAGGCAAAAACAGUGACCCACAUUCACAACGGAGCAAGCCAGCGUAGCGACACAAAGUCACGAAAACGUCUGGCUCUUCGGCAAUAGACAAAGAGAGUCGAUGGUAACCGUCGCUGCAUAUUCGGGAAUGCAUGUUUUCAUUAGUGUUUUAAGUGAGCACGAGGCCCGGGGGAACCAUCGCACCGGCGGGCUGCUGCCGAUGAUGUUCCCGGCGCCUGCAAUUUACGGGAAUUCCAUCCGGAACAGAGACAGACAAGAGGCAAUGCACAUAGAACCAACACACGAAUCGAAAUUGACAGAGCGCGAGCAUCAGCUGGGAAGAGGCGGGGUAUGCACACAUCAUCACAAGGUGACCGCUUCUCAAAAGCGGGACAGAAGACGAGGGGGAUAAGAAGGGAGCGCGGGGGGAAAGGAGAGAAGACAUCCGGAAAGAAAGCUUAGUGACAGCGCCUCAGAGAACGAUAAAGACGGACAAAAGCGCCGGGGGAAAAAGGAAUCCAUGGUUCAAGUUCUUCCACCCCUAAUAACAUUGUUGUCUUUCUUUCAUUUUGUCAUCUGGUUGUUGAUUGGUAGGUUCAACUUGCAAUUUUAUGACGUUUAACGUAUUGUACCGGCUUAGCCAACUAAUAAAAAAUGGGAGAAGGCUC